CAAGGCGACGAUCAGUAGCUGGUCUGAGAGGACGACCAGCCACACUGGGACUGAGACACGGCCCAGACUCCUACGGGAGGCAGCAGUGGGGAAUUUUGGACAAUGGGGGCAACCCUGAUCCAGCAAUGCCGCGUGUGUGAAGAAGGCCUUCGGGUUGUAAAGCACUUUUGUCAGGAACGAAACGGUGGGGGCUAAUAUCCUCUGCUAAUGACGGUACCUGAAGAAUAAGCACCGGCUAACUACGUGCCAGCAGCCGCGGUAAUACGUAGGGUGCGAGCGUUAAUCGGAAUUACUGGGCGUAAAGCGUGCGCAGGCGGUUGUGCAAGACAGAUGUGAAAUCCCCGGGCUCAACCUGGGAAUGGCAUUUGUGACUGCACGGCUAGAGUGUGUCAGAGGGGGGUAGAAUUCCACGUGUAGCAGUGAAAUGCGUAGAUAUGUGGAGGAAUACCGAUGGCGAAGGCAGCCCCCUGGGAUAACACUGACGCUCAGCA
rnacentral:rRNA from 1 species